rnacentral:lncRNA from 1 species
GUAUUUAUGUGUGUACUGUAUGUAUGUGUGUAUGUAUUACAGCCUUUGAGUACUUGUUUGAGGUUGAGCUUACAGUACCAGUCAAAAGUUUGGACACACCUACUCAUUCAAGAAGGAGAGCUCAGGCUGUGUGAGUGUCCCGGUCCUGUGUGGUCAGCGAUGUGAUGUGGGCUUGCCAGGGAGACGGUGUGGUACCUUGUGAGGGUGUGUGAGUCUGCUCUGUUCUGGAAAGACGACAUCAACCUACUACAGCUCCACCACAGAGGAAAACUCUCCCUCACUCUGAUGAGGGACGAUGUGCUCAACAGCUCCGACUAUGAAGCUCUGGAGUCCAGCAUCCUCCGAGUGGUCCAUCACCACGAGCA